GAUGAACGCUAGCGGCAGGCCUAACACAUGCAAGUCGAACGGUAGGGAUCAGCAAUGAUUCCGAGAGUGGCGCACGGGUGCGUAACACGUAUGCAAUCUACCUCUAACUGGAGAAUAGCCCGGAGAAAUUCGGAUUAAUACUCCAUAGCAAUUUGAGAAGGCAUCUUUUUGAAUUUAAAACUACGGUGGUUAGAGAUGAGCAUGCGCAACAUUAGCUAGUUGGUAAGGUAUAGGCUUACCAAGGCUACGAUGUUUAGGGGGCCUGAGAGGGUUAUCCCCCACACUGGUACUGAGACACGGACCAGACUCCUACGGGAGGCAGCAGUGAGGAAUAUUGGACAAUGGUCGGAAGACUGAUCCAGCCAUGCCGCGUGCAGGAUGACGGCCCUAUGGGUUGUAAACUGCUUUUAUUUGGGGAGAAACCUCUUUACGUGUAGAGAGCUGACGGUACCAAAUGAAUAAGCACCGGCUAACUCCGUGCCAGCAGCCGCGGUAACAC
rnacentral:rRNA from 1 species